AAAUUGAAGAGUUUGAUCAUGGCUCAGAUUGAACGCUGGCGGCAGGCCUAACACAUGCAAGUCGAGCGGUAGCACAGAGAGCUUGCUCUCGGGUGACGAGCGGCGGACGGGUGAGUAAUGUCUGGGAAACUGCCUGAUGGAGGGGGAUAACUACUGGAAACGGUAGCUAAUACCGCAUAAUGUCGCAAGACCAAAGUGGGGGACCUUCGGGCCUCAUGCCAUCAGAUGUGCCCAGAUGGGAUUAGCUAGUAGGUGGGGUAACGGCUCACCUAGGCGACGAUCCCUAGCUGGUCUGAGAGGAUGACCAGCCACACUGGAACUGAGACACGGUCCAGACUCCUACGGGAGGCAGCAGUGGGGAAUAUUGCACAAUGGGCGCAAGCCUGAUGCAGCCAUGCCGCGUGUGUGAAGAAGGCCUUCGGGUUGUAAAGCACUUUCAGCGGGGAGGAAGGCGUUAAGGUUAAUAACCUUGGCGAUUGACGUUACCCGCAGAAGAAGCACCGGCUAACUCCGUGCCAGCAGCCGCGGUAAUACGGAGGGUGCAAGCGUUAAUCGGAAUUACUGGGCGUAAAGCGCACGCAGGCGGUCUGUCAAGUCGGAUGUGAAAUCCCCGGGCUCAACCUGGGAACUGCAUUCGAAACUGGCAGGCUAGAGUCUUGUAGAGGGGGUAGAAUUCCAGGUGUAGCGGUGAAAUGCGUAGAGAUCUGGAGGAAUACCGGUGGCGAAGGCGGCCCCCUGGACAAAGACUGACGCUCAGGUGCGAAAGCGUGGGGAGCAAACAGGAUUAGAUACCCUGGUAGUCCACGCCGUAAACGAUGUCGAUUUGGAGGUUGUGCCCUUGAGGCGUGGCUUCCGGAGCUAACGCGUUAAAUCGACCGCCUGGGGAGUACGGCCGCAAGGUUAAAACUCAAAUGAAUUGACGGGGCCCGCACAAGCGGUGGAGCAUGUGGUUUAAUUCGAUGCAACGCGAAGAACCUUACCUGGUCUUGACAUCCACAGAACUUUCCAGAGAUGGAUUGGUGCCUUCGGGAACUGUGAGACAGGUGCUGCAUGGCUGUCGUCAGCUCGUGUUGUGAAAUGUUGGGUUAAGUCCCGCAACGAGCGCAACCCUUAUCCUUUGUUGCCAGCGGUCCGGCCGGGAACUCAAAGGAGACUGCCAGUGAUAAACUGGAGGAAGGUGGGGAUGACGUCAAGUCAUCAUGGCCCUUACGACCAGGGCUACACACGUGCUACAAUGGCAUAUACAAAGAGAAGCGACCUCGCGAGAGCAAGCGGACCUCAUAAAGUAUGUCGUAGUCCGGAUUGGAGUCUGCAACUCGACUCCAUGAAGUCGGAAUCGCUAGUAAUCGUAGAUCAGAAUGCUACGGUGAAUACGUUCCCGGGCCUUGUACACACCGCCCGUCACACCAUGGGAGUGGGUUGCAAAAGAAGUAGGUAGCUUAACCUUCGGGAGGGCGCUUACCACUUUGUGAUUCAUGACUGGGGUGAAGUCGUAACAAGGUAACCGUAGGGGAACCUGCGGUUGGAUCACCUCCUUACCUUAAAGAA
rnacentral:rRNA from 1 species